rnacentral:rRNA from 1 species
ACACGUGAUUCAGAGUUUGAUCCUGGCUCAGAGCGAACGCUGGCGGCAGGCUUAACACAUGCAAGUCGAACGGUCCUUCGGGAUAGUGGCGGACGGGUGAGUAACACGUGGGAACGUACCCUUAGGUUCGGAACAACACAGGGAAACUUGUGCUAAUACCGGAUAAGCCCUUCGGGGGAAAGAUUUAUCGCCUUUGGAGCGGCCCGCGUCUGAUUAGCUUGUUGGUGAGGUAAUGGCUCACCAAGGCUACGAUCAGUAGCUGGUCUGAGAGGAUGGCCAGCCACACUGGGACUGAGACACGGCCCAG